AAAGCCCACCAAGGCGACGAUCUGUAGCUGGUCUGAGAGGACGACCAGCCACACUGGAACUGAGACACGGUCCAGACUCCUACGGGAGGCAGCAGUGGGGAAUUUUGGACAAUGGGCGCAAGCCUGAUCCAGCAAUGCCGCGUGCAGGAUGAAGGCCUUCGGGUUGUAAACUGCUUUUGUACGGAACGAAACGGCUCUUUCUAAUAAAGAGGGCUAAUGACGGUACCGUAAGAAUAAGCACCGGCUAACUACGUGCCAGCAGCCGCGGUAAUACGUAGGGUGCGAGCGUUAAUCGGAAUUACUGGGCGUAAAGCGUGCGCAGGCGGUUAUAUAAGACAGAUGUGAAAUCCCCGGGCCCAACCUGGGACCUGCAUUUGUGACUGUAUAGCUAGAGUACGGUAGAGGGGAUGGAAUUCCGCGUGUAGCAGUGAAAUGCGUAGAUAUGCGGAGGAACACCGAUGGCGAAGGCAAUCCCCUGGACCUGUACUGACGCUCAUGCACGA
rnacentral:rRNA from 1 species